rnacentral:rRNA from 1 species
GCCCAGACUCCUACGGGAGGCAGCAGUGGGGAAUAUUGGACAAUGGGGGGAACCCUGAUCCAGCGACGCCGCGUGAGUGAAGAAGUAUUUCGGUAUGUAAAGCUCUAUCAGCAGGGAAGAAAGAAAUGACGGUACCUGACUAAGAAGCCCCGGCUAACUACGUGCCAGCAGCCGCGGUAAUACGUAGGGGGCAAGCGUUAUCCGGAUUUACUGGGUGUAAAGGGAGCGCAGACGGCAGUGCAAGUCUGGAGUGAAAGCCCGGGGCCCAACCCCGGAACUGCUCUGGAAACUGUGCGGCUAGAGUACUGGAGGGGCAGGCGGAAUUCCUAGUGUAGCGGUGAAAUGCGUAGAUAUCAGGAGGAACACCGGUGGCGAAGGCGGCCUGCUGGACUGCAACUGACGUUGAGGCUCGAAAGCGUGGGGAGCAAACAGGAUUAGAUCCCCCCGUA